rnacentral:tRNA from 1 species
CAGGGAAUAGUUUAGUUA